GGGCUUGGUCCUACCCUGAGAGCAGGGAACUGGACGCACAGUCCCUUCCAGCUCUUGUGUUCUAUUCUAGAACAGAAAGUUGAGCGGGGUGGUAAGUAACAAUGGGAUCAGGUUGUGAAUUGAGAGCAAACUGGACUGCUAGGUGAAGAGCUCCUCUCUGCAGCAUGUGUUUUAACAGAAGCAGAAGCUAGGUCCUCCCUCAGAGGAAAGGAUGGAGGUCACAUGUAGCGGAUGUGCGGCUUCACCCUGACAAGCCUGCUACGAAGGGUGGUGGGUAGCAGACGUAGGCUUGGAAGAAAGGAGUGGCGUGCGGACGAGCUCCAGAUCAGGUCUCUGACAAGAUGGCACCUCGACAUUUCCCUGCCUGGACCUUCUACCCUGGGAUACAAAGCAGCCUUAAGGAAGUGAAUUUCCUAUCAGCGUGGUGGAAGUCCUCUGCUGCCAAAUUUGGCAUGGGAACAAGGAAUACAAGAAGUUUGACAGGUGCCUGGUUCUACACAUCAAAGGAGGAUGAAAUAAAAAUGAGUUAGAAUUGAGAUUUCAAUAAUAUUACAAAUCAGCUGAUUUUUACUGCUGAUAUCUUUAACAAACCUAACCAAAAUAGUUAAAUUGGUACCAAAUCGCGUGUGGACCUAGCUUUAUGCUUUUUAGUGAUAUACCUAGCAGCAACGACAGAUACGUAGGUGCACAGGAAGGAGCUCUUCCUCCCUAUUAAACUAUGUCAUGAUCUUAGCAGCAGUCCAUGUCUACACUGUAUCACGAGAUGUCCUAAUGCUCGGGGCACCCCUCGUUGCUCCCCAUAAAAUACAGCCCCUAAUGUCAGGGCUAGCUCAGCCUCUUGGACUUUGUUCCAAAUCAGGUUCACCCCCUAUUAGGGUAAAUAUGGCCACUGGGGCCUAGUCACCAGUCUAAUGCACCCUUAUUAGGAUCAAUACAGCCACUUGGGCCUAGUCCCAAAUCCAGUCCACCCCAUUAGGGUAAAUACGGCCUCUGCAGCCUAGGCACAAACACAGCCCCACUCCCUCAGGGUACGGACGCCCUUGCAGGCCUGGUUCACUGGACGGCCUCCUGACGAGCCUGGGAGUGGGGGUGCUGUGGGGUGCGGGCAGUAGGUGGAC